UAAAUGUAUAAAAUGCCAGCAAGUAAAAUAAAUAUACAAUACUUACUACAAUAGUAAGUACAAAAUUUAUACAACAACAAUAUUGUUAAAAUUUAUAAUUUUUAUCUUUUCGAUAUAGAAUAUUUUCUGUUAUAUUGUAACGUGUUUGCCCAAAUUUAUUAAUUUUGUCUUUCUUUGUGACCGCAUAAAAUAAUGUUUCAUUUUUGUUUAUAAUGUUUUGUUAUUCUUAUACAUUUAAUCGAACGAUUUACUUUGCAAUCAAUGUUUGUUAUUGCAAAACAGAAUAGUUAUAUAAAACAGAAAUUCUAGUAAAUACAUAUUCAAGCUUAAAAGUAAUUUUAGUAAAGUUAUUCAAUUUACGUAUCUAAUAAACACAAUACUUGUAACAGCUAAAUUUAAAUACUAGUUAUAUAAUUAGUUAUCAAAAUGAAUCACACUCAUGAAACAAUCGUUGAAAUUUUAAGUUUCAUCAUCGUAUCGGGAGAAUUCAUUCUCGAUGGAACACAUUACCUCCCACUGCUACUUCACAUACGUCAUUUACAUCAUGUUACAUUAAUUGUGUAUUAUGUACGCCGUCGUAUCUCUAAUCUAACCUAACCUAACCAUAACAACAAUUACUACUACUACUAUUGUACUUUCCUGUAUUACUAAACUUUAUUUUCUCUUUUUUCUCUCCUUGAUAUGGCAAUGGAUAAUUUGCGGAUAUAUUAACAAGUAACUUGCGACAUUUCUUGUAAGAGCAAUUUUUGUGACAUAUAUAAAUACAUCUAAUAUAAUGAUUGACAGUUAUUUCUAACUUCUAAUGGCAUCCCAAAUAUUUUAUGAGAGUUCAUGUGCUAAAGAUAAUAAAAAAAAGUGUUGAGUAAAGGAAGGGAUUAAUUUUGUAAUGGAUAGAUUUUUAUGAAUUUUAUCUAAAUUUUAUUAAAAAGCAGAAAUUAUCGAUAUAAAAUAUAAAAACAGAAUGUCUUAAAUAAUCUUUCGAGUGAAUUUAAUAGUAAUGACAAUUAAAUUACACAAUUUAUGUACACGAUUCUACCAGGAAGUGAGAAAAAUAUAAAUGAAACACAGCGAUAAUUUAAUAGAAUUUAUAUAUCCGAAUAAUCAGAAAUAUUUCCAUGCCGUAAUAUAUAUUCAUGAAAAUGAUUCGCAUUAAAAAUGAUCUCGAGAAAAAAUAAUUAAAUACACAAUUCGGUGUUGGUUGGUUACAAAAAGGAUACAGUUUUAAUAUAUAAGUUUUUAUGGCAAACACAUCAUCAACAACAAUGACAUAGAAUAGAGGUUUCGUAUGCCUGGUAGUAGCUGCCAGUACUUGGAGGAGCUUUUAUUGCUAUAUAUUCCAUCUAAUUCUCGUACACAAUGAGGAAAAUUCCAAUAUUCUUCAAAUAAUUGUGAAUGUUUCUUCUUAGAUGUUGUUAAAUAUAUAUUAAAAAAAAACAGCUACAAUAAACCUAUGUUAAUGUUAAAUAUUAGUUUUUCACAUUUAAGAAAAUAGAAAAAAAGCAAUGUCAAAUGUAACUAGAGCUAGAAAAGCAAAUAGAAACAAAUAGAUCGACUCUAAAUUGAUAGUAUUGAAUGUUCAGUUACAUUAUUAGAUGCUAAAUAUCCUACAUCUACCAUCUGCUUCAUUAUGGAGUAAUUCUAGAUCACCUUAAAUAUUACAUUUUUUUUAUUUCAAAUAUUUAUAUUAAAAAAAAUAAUAUUUGUUUUAUUUUAUUUUAUUUAUUUAUUUAUUUAUCUGUACUUGAAGCUCAGAGUCUAUUACAAGGAGAUAAUCGAGUUGUUUCCAAUCUUACGUUGUUUGAACUAUAUUCUUAAUAUAAGUAUAUUAUUAAAAAAUAAUAUAUAUAUAUAUAUAUACACAAUUCUUGUAAGUAAAUUGUUCGAUUAAAUGUAUAAGAAUAAGAAAAC